GGCCCAUUAGCUCAGUUGGUAGAGCACCUGACUCUUAAUCAGGGUGUCCGGGGUUCGAGUCCCUGAUGGUCCACCA
rnacentral:tRNA from 1 species